rnacentral:rRNA from 1 species
AACGAACGCUGGCGGCAUGCCUAACACAUGCAAGUCGAACGAGACCUUCGGGUCUAGUGGCGCACGGGUGCGUAACGCGUGGGAACCUGCCCUUAGGUUCGGAAUAACUCCCCGAAAGGGGUGCUAAUACCGGAUAAUCUCUUCGGGCCAAAGAUUUAUCGCCUUUGGAUCGGCCCGCGUCUGAUUAGCUAGUUGGUAGGGUAAAAGCCUACCAAGGCGACGAUCCAUAGCUGGUCUGAGAGGAUGAUCAGCCACACUGGGACUGAGACACGGCCCAGACCUCCUAGGGAGGCAGGAGGGGGGGAAAUUGGGCAAGGGGAGAAAGCCCGACGCAGCCAUGGCGAGUGAAGGAAGGAAGGCUUUGGCGUUUAAAAUCUUUUUACCCGGGAAGAUAAUGGCCGUCCCCGGGGAAAAAGCCCCCGGUUACCUGGUG